rnacentral:tmRNA from 1 species
GGGGUAGUAAAGGUUUCGACAGGGGUCUUGCAGCUGGAGAAGCUAUCCGCAGGUGAUGCGUCAAAUCACGACAAUAAAUAUAAACGCUGAAGAUAAUUUAGCAUUCGCUGCCUAGUUGCAGCGUGUCCGCCUUAGUGCACCUACACAUUAAGAACCGGGCAUCGACUAUGUAGGAAACGACAUGGGCAAAGCUUUGAGCCUGUGGGCGUACAAUGAAGCUACUAAAACCUGCAGGGUGUUAGUUCCCGGCAGGCAGAGGGAAUGAAAAAGAACUGACUAUGAUAGUAGAAGUACAGGGAAUGGGCUUUUGGACACGGGUUCGACUCCCGUCUACUCCAUGA